UUUAUUAACCAGGUUUUCGGAAGGAAAAAACUGGUUAUUAGAUUGGCGAAUGCGGGCGGGCUGGCUGGCUGGCUGGCUGGCGGGCUGGCUGGCUGGCUGGCGGGCUGGCGGAAUAAGCUUGUCCGGGCCAUAACUAUGUCGUUCAUUGUCAGAUUUUAAAAUCAUUUGGCACAUUUGUUCACCAUCAUUGGACGGUGUGUUGCGCGAAAUAAUUACGUCGAUAUCUCCAAGGUCAAGGUCACACUUUGAGUUCAAAGGUCAAAAAUGGCCAUAAAUGAGCUUGUCCUGGCCAUAACUAUGUCAUUCAUUGUGAGAUUUUAAAAUCAUUUGGCACAUUUGUUCACCAUCAUGGGACGGUGUGUCCCACGAAAGAAUCACGUCAAUAUCUCCAAUGUCAAGGUCGCCACGACUAAAAAUAGAUUUAAAAAAAAAAAAAAACUUACAAAGGGGGUUAAUUUUGUUUGGUCAUUUCAAAAGUUCA